AGGUUGUAAAAGGCUUAUUUAAGGACAUCUUUUUAUCAAUUAAUCAAAUUAUCCUUUCGGAUUUCUAUCAACUGGUGGACUCUAGUAAACUUUGUUCUACAAGGAUUACGCUGGUAACCUUUCUUUGCUUCGUGCUGCGUCAUCAGUUUGACAAGGUAACAAAGGAGAUACUAUACAGAGGCAGGAGUAAGCCAAAUAAGCUAUUUCAGAUUCCUGUGUAUUAGGGAGAAUGACAAGUCAUCAAAUAUAGUUACUGUUAAAUAGUUUGUUAAAGCUAAAUGUAAUCAGUUUUGUUAGUAACUGUAGUUAGUCAAGGUAGUUGAGGGUAUUCUUGUAAUUAGCCUAAGGCAGCUAAGGCUAUAUAUAUUCACAUCUGUACAACUGAAUUAUUGAUUCAAUACAAUCAAGAAAACUUACUGUUGAAGUUUUCUGUUUCUAUACUGUGUUCAAACAGUUUCAGAUUCCUGUGCAGUGUGCAACUUCUUCAGCUUUUCUUGGGCAAAUGAUCAAGUCUUCUGUGUGGCAUAAGAUGUUAGGCCACCCCACUAAAAUAAGUCUCAGCUUAGUUCUAUAGUUGAUAAGCAAUGUAGUAUCUGUUUUGAUUGUAUAAAUGGAAAAAUGUCCCGGUUACCUUUUCCUACUGAGUCCACUAGGUGUUUAGUACCUUUUGAGAGGAUCCAUAUUGAUAUUUGGGGUCCUUCACCAGUAAAGUCUAUUGAAGGGUUUAGGUAUUAUGUAACCUUUGUGGAUGAUUGUACUAAGUUUGUAUGGAUUUUUCCAUUAUUCAAUAAAUUAGAUGUUUUUGCCAUUUUUGUGAAGUUCUAUACUUUUAUAUUAGUUCAGUUUGGCGGUUUUGUUAAAUGUUUACAAUCUGAUGGUGGUGCGGAGUUUGUUAGUAAACAAUUUCAGCAGUUUUGAGUUCUAAAGGCAUUUUUCAUAGGAUUUCUUGUCCUUAUACUCCUCAACAAAAUGGAUUUGUUGAGAGGCGCAAUAGACAUAUUGUGGAAACUGCUAUUACUCUUAUGUCUGUUGUUGGUUUGUCACAAGUCUUUUGGUACCAUGCUUGUGCACAUGCAGUUUAUCUCAUUAAUAUGAUGCCUUUUAGAUCUCUUCAAAUGUCUUCUCCUUUCUUCAAGUUAUAUAAGAAGUCUCCAACUUUGGGACAUUUGAAAAUAUUUGGGUCUACUGUCUAUCCUUAUUACAGGCCCUAUACCAAUAAUAAACUUCACCAUAGGACUCUAUUAUGUGUCUUUUUGGGUUAUGUUGUUGGUUAUAAGGGGGUUAUUUGCUAUAGUUUGGCAACCAAGAGAUUAUACAUAUCCAGGCAUAUGAUUCAUGAUGAGCAUAUGUUUUCUGCAAAGCUGUCUAGUUCUUUAGUUAUUUCUUCCUCCAUCAGUUCAGAUUCCAAAUUGCAUCCUCCUUUGGUUGUUACACUACCACAAGUUACUUCACAAGGUACAGGGGGAUUCACCAAUGUCUUCUGGUUUAUCUGGUUCUUCAUCAUAGGAAUCUGAAUCUUUAAUAGCUCGUUCCAAUGCUACUCCUCCUCUUUCACCUGAGUUGUUACCUGUCCUUGUUUCCACUCAGCAUUAGGUACUUUUACCUUUUGGGAGCAGCCUCUCCAUAAAUGGGGGUAAGGCUAGCCGACAUUCACCUCUCCCAGACCCUGCGUAAAGCGGGAGCCUUGUGCACUGGGUACGACGACUUAGCUGCUUCAUCUUUACCUCCGAUUUUGUUCUUGAGCCCUUAGAACUGCACUCAUUGUCUAUUAAUGAUACUGAUGUUAGCUAUGCUGGUUAUUCCUUUGUGGCUAACAUUUUUCAUAUGGAGGAACCAAAGACAUUUCGCAUUGCAUCUCAGAAUUCAUUAUGGAAGCAAGCUAUGCGAGAUGAGUUUAAUGCUCUUAAAUCUCAAGGUACUUAGGUUUUGGUACCACUUCCUCCCAACCGUUCUGUUGUAGGAUGUAAGUGGGUUUAUGAAGUCAAAACAAAUUCUGGUGGCACGAUUGCACGCCACAAAGCACGACUAGUUGCUCAAGGCUGACUCAAGAACAAGGUCUUAAUUACUUUGAAACCUUCAGUCCAGUUGUUCGACACUCUACAGUGAGGCUUAUUUUGGCUUUGGCCACUUCUCAACGCUGGUCUCUUCACCAGUUAGACAUUAAAAAUGCCUUUCUUCAUGGAGAAUUACAUGAGGAAAUUUAUAUGCGGCAACCUCCGGGAUUUGUGGAUCCUUGUCAUCCUUUUCAUGUUUGUAGGCUUGUCAAGUUCAUUGUAUGGUCUCAAACAGGCUCCUUGAGCCUGGCAUCACAAAUUUACUGGAGUUUUACCUUCCUUGGGUUUUCAAAUGUCUUCUUCAGAUGAUAGUUUAUUUGUGAAACAUGAUGGGACUCAUAUUGUUGUUCUGCUAUUAUACAUUGAUGAUAUUAUCAUUACGGGUUCUACUAAUGAUCAGGUUCAGCUUAUAAUUGAUCAACUUGGUGAAUAUUUUGAUCUUAAGGACAUGGGUGCUCUUAUAUAUUUUCAUGGUCUUCAUAUUUCGUAUCAAGCAAAUGGGGAUUUGUUUGUGAAUCAAACCAAUUAUGCUAAGGAGCUUCUUAAGAAAGCAGGUAUGGAACAUUGUAAACCUGUAUCUACUCUGUAUAGAAGUCUGAACGCACUCCUUUAGCUGAUCCCACUUUGUAUAGAAGUCUUGUCGGUGCACUGCAGUAUCUCACAUUUACCAUACCCGAUAUUUCUCAUGCCGUCAAUGUUGUCUGUCAGUUUAUGAGUCAACCGACUGAUUCUCAUUUUUUCUUGGUCAAAAGAAUUCUCCGAUACAUUCAAGGGUCUUUGCAGUGUGGAUUGGCGUAUAAAUCUACUUCUGAUACUUCUUUAACAGCCUAUUCUGACUCUGAUUGGGCUACGGAUAUUAAUACUCGUUGGUCUAUUACCGGUUAUGUGGUGUUCUUUGGAUCAAAUCAUGUGUCUUGGCAAUCUAAAAGACAAUCUUCAGUUUCCUGGAGCUCCACUAAAGCUAAAUAUAAGGCCCUUGCUCAUUGUGCAGCAUAUGUGUGUUGGUUGAGAAAUAUACUGUGUGACUUGUAUGUCGUUGUUCCUUCUCCACCUCUCUUACAUUGUGACAAUCUUUUUACUCUUGCUCUGAGUACUAAUCAUGUUUUUCACCCUCGGAUUAAGCAUCUCGACACGGACUAUCAUUUUGUUUGUGAGAAAGUUCAAAAGGGUGAUUUGUUGGUGCAAUAUAUUCCUACCAAGGCUCAGCUUGCGGAUGUGUUUACCAGGGGUCUUCAUAGUCCAGAUUUCAUUCGCCAUUAUUCCAAUCUUAACCUUGGUGCUCCUGGUUAAGAUUGAGGGGGGGUAAUAAUAGAGAUGUUGCCAUAUGUCAGUUUAUCAUUUGUACACUUGUCACUUGUAGAUUGAUUUCUUAAUAUGUAAUCUUAGUAGUAGCAUACUUAAGAAGCUAAGAUUGGAAAAUGUAUAUAUAGCUACUGUGCUUUGUUUUUCAGUCGAUUAAUAAAAGUUUUCCCACUUUACAA